CAUCACACCAGCAAACGAUGAAUUGCCACUUCUCACUGAGUUACCAGAUGUGCCACGACCACAUACUACCACAAGUGAUACACCAUCUGUACAUGGUUCUGAGUUUGAGGCAUUGAAGAAUGAGGUUGUAAAUGUUCGUGAAGAUUUGAAACUAUUUCAGAAGAAGGUAGAGGAUGAUUUUAAACAGUUGAAGCAACACUUGGAUAAAUCAAUAUUGGACAUACUUACAGAGAUCAAGUCCUCACAUGGCAGGCAGACGGAAAAUAAUGAAUAUGAGG